rnacentral:lncRNA from 1 species
UACAUUUAAGUGCCAGUCUUUGUAAGAAUCAGGCAAUUUAGGUAAAAAUUAAAACAUGAUUAGAAAAAACCCACCGAGCUAAUCAUGCUAUCUAAUACUAACCAUCAUCCUGAGUUAAAAAUAAUUGGUCUUUUGUUUGUGUGUGUCUGGUAAUAUCAAAUAACUUGGUUAGAAAAUUGAUUAGAAUGAUAGCAAAUUACAGAGUUAUCUCCCUUUUUUUUUAAUUUCUAGUGCAUUUCAACCAAAUUGUAUCUUCUAUUACCAGAACAGAAAAUGGAAAUGAAUGUUAUUUUUGUGCAUAACUACAUAUUAUGAACUGAAAUCAAUGUCAAAUAGGAUGGGUUUUUUUAUCAUGUUUUCACCACUGCCUGAUUCUUAGGCAGACUGGCACUU